rnacentral:rRNA from 1 species
AGUGAACGCUGGCGGUAGGCCUAACACAUGCAAGUCGAACGGCAGCACAGUAAGAGCUUGCUCUUACGGGUGGCGAGUGGCGGACGGGUGAGGAAUACAUCGGAAUCUACUUUUUCGUGGGGGAUAACGUAGGGAAACAUACGCUAAUACCGCAUACGACCUACGGGUGAAAGCAGGGGAUCUUCGGACCUUGCGCGAUUGAAUGAGCCGAUGUCGGAUUAGCUAGUUGGCGGGGUAAAGGCCCACCAAGGCGACGAUCCGUAGCUGGUCUGAGAGGAUGAUCAGCCACACUGGGACUGAGACACGGUCCAGACUCCUACGGGAGGCAGCAGUGGGGAAUAUUGGACAAUGGGCGCAAGCCUGAUCCAGCCAUACCGCGUGGGUGAAGAAGGCCUUCGGGUUGUAAAGCCCUUUUGUUGGGAAAGAAAAGCAGCAGGUUAAUACCCCGCUGUUCUGACGGUGCCCAAAGAAUAAGCACCGGCUAACUUCGUG